AGAUAUUGAGAAAAGAAAAUUGAAUUUUUUUUAAUAAAUUAUAAUAAAAAAAGCCCACUCAUAGCGCUGGUUAUAAGCCAGUUGUGAAUAAAGCAGAAAGGAAGUAUUUGGCGGCACUCUUUGGUGAGUCUUUAGAUGCCAUUCCUCAGUUGCUUAGGCUGCUUUUGAAAGCUUGCUGCCGAAAACUCCAGGCAUGGUUCAGUAAGAUUUUUUCUGUUGCAUAAUGUGACUGGUAGUGCAUUGAAAAAAUUAUUGGAGAUGUUAAAACUUUUUCAAUGCAGAUGUUAGAACUUCAAAAAAUAAAUAAUGGAGAAAUGUAGAAUAUCUUCAAUAAAAAGAAAUCGGAGCUAAAUCAUCCAAUAAGCUAGUCUGUUCAUGCCAAUGAGUAUGUAGCUCAAAUUACAUAUUCUACCAUUGUUGAAACAGUGUGGAGGGUGAGAUUGUGGGCUCAAAACUCACUGGGUGUGUUCCUGAUCCCUUACAGAUAAAAAUAGAAUGUUGGUUUUCUGUGAUAUGCCAUACUGGCCAGAUCUUGAUAAAUAUGGAAGUAUAACUCUCUUUUUUCCACAAAGCACUAGAACUCAUUAUAAACAUGCAGAACUAACAGCUUUAACUGGCAUUGUCUUCUUCAACUACAUUAGGAUAUUUACAGAUGACUAAGGUAUAAUGAAAUGGGGAUGAAAAUUAUGUAACCCAGCACUAAAUUCAUUGACAAUGGGUGUUGGUCGAGCUCCAAGACAAUGAUAAUAUUCUGAUUUUUUUCAGUCUUUUUAUCCUCACAAUGUGCGCUUUGCCUUGAGUUUAGAAUGGUUGGGACUGCUGGGGCUGAUGACUCUCGUUCCUUGUUCACAAUCUUUUUACUAUUUUUAAGGAAAAAAUUAUCAUCAGCAGCAGUCACAGAAAACAGAGGAAUCAUCUCUGUCAAUUAUGACCAAAAUCAUCAAGGAUAUGCUGCCCCCAGACGUACGUGUUGCACGAGAUGCUCAAGAUCUUUUAAUUGAGUGUUGUGUAGGUGAUGAGCUUCUCUCGGACUCCUUUCCUUGCAAGAAAAUCAAAAAUGGAAUACUGUAGGAAUUUUGAGGGGAAGUUAUAAUGUCUCUUGUUCUAAACCAACAGUACUUUCUUCAACUUCACCUGGAUCCAGCUAGCAGCAAUACUCUCCCUGCAAGUGGUAAUGGAUCUGUCACACAUAACUUGAGAGUUACUAACAGCCAACAUGGAAAGGAUAAGGUACGACUACAAGGGGUCUACAAAUCCCUGCAUCGAGACAUAAUAGUGCAUUUUAGGAACUGGGACUUCGACCCAAUGGAGCUUAAGAAUCACAUACCAUAACAAUGAGGCCUCUGUUCACCUGUUGCGUGGUCAUGAAGAUAAACUUGUCAUAUAUUUAUUUUAUCAUAAUAAUUUUAUGUCAUAUAUUCAACCUUUUGUGAAAAGUUACUUUCAUCGACUUUUAGGAGACACAACUCCAACAAAAGAGUUAAUUAGUAACACAAAAAAUAAAAUAAAAUAAAAAAUGUGAGUACUAUUCCAAAAA